UCGAGAAUCAUUCGCAAUGGGCGAAAGCCUGACGAUGCGACGCCGUGUGUAUGAUGAAGGCCUUAGGGUCGUAAAGUACUUUCGCCUGGGAACAAGACAAUUUGACUAACAAUCAAAGAGUUUGAGGGUAUCAGGUAAAGAAGCACCGGCUAACUCCGUGCCAGCAGCUGCGGUAAUACGGAGGGUGCAAGCAUUAAUCGGAUUUAUUGGGCGUAAAGGGCGCGUAGGCGGUCAAGAAAGUCGUAUGUGAAAUUCCGGGGCUCAACCUCGGAGCUGCAUAGGAAACUUCUUGUCUAGAGGGUAGGCGGAGAAAAUGGAAUUCCACAAGUAGCGGUGAAAUGCGUAGAUAUGUGGAAGAACACCAGUGGCGAAGGCGGUUUUCUAGCUUAUACCUGACGCUGAGGCGCGAAAGCAAGGGGAGCAAACA
rnacentral:rRNA from 1 species